UAGGGAAUCUUCCGCAAUGGACGCAAGUCUGACGGAGCAACGCCGCGUGAGUGAAGAAGGAUUUCGGUUCGUAAAACUCUGUUGUUAGAGAAGAACAGCGCAUAGAGUAACUGUUAUGCGUGUGACGGUAUCUAACCAGAAAGCCACGGCUAACUACGUGCCAGCAGCCGCGGUAAUACGUAGGUGGCAAGCGUUGUCCGGAUUUAUUGGGCGUAAAGCGAGCGCAGGCGGUCAAUUAAGUCUGAUGUGAAAGCCCACGGCUCAACCGUGGAGGGUCAUUGGAAACUGGAAAACUUGAGUGCAGAAGAGGAAAGUGGAAUUCCAUGUGUAGCGGUGAAAUGCGCAGAGAUAUGGAGGAACACCAGUGGCGAAGGCGACUUUCUGGUCUGUAACUGACGCUGAUGUGCGAAAGCGUGGGUAGCAAACAGG
rnacentral:rRNA from 1 species